rnacentral:lncRNA from 1 species
UGGAUUUCAAAAAAAACUUACCACAUGAGUCCUCCCACCAUAUUAUGAUGGUGCCCAAGUUUUGGGCUCAAUCCAAAAUCAAUUGGUUAAAGAAACCGGACACUUCAUGGUCGUUUGAAGUUUGUGUGAAGUUCGUAUCAUGGUUGGAACAUUGCAUAGUUUUAGUGGUUGAAUUUCUACAAAAACAUACCACAUGAGUCCUCCCACCAUAUUGUGAUGUUCCCCAAGUUUUUG